GUGGGGAAUAUUGGACAAUGGGGGAAACCCUGAUCCAGCAAUGCCGCGUGAAUGAUGAAGGCCUUAGGGUUGUAAAGUUCUUUCACCUGUGAAGAUAAUGACGGUAGCAGGAGAAGAAGCCCCGGCAAACUCCGUGCCAGCAGCCGCGGUAAGACGGAGGGGGCUAGCGUUGUUCGGAAUGACUGGGCGUAAAGGGCGCGUAGGCGGUGUCUUAAGUGAGGCGUGAAAGCCCCGGGCUUAACCCGGGAGGUGCGUUUCAUACUGAGAUGCUAGAGUGCGAGAGAGGAAAGUGGAAUUCCUAGUGUAGAGGUGAAAUUCGUAGAUAUUAGGAAGAACACCAGAGGCGAAGGCGGCUUUCUGGCUCGUAACUGACGCUGAGGCGCGAAAGCGUGGGGAGCAAACAGGAUUAGAAACCCGAGUAGUCC
rnacentral:rRNA from 1 species